GACUCUCAGCAAUAGAUAGCUCGGCUCUUGCCACGAUGAAGAAUAUAGUGAAAUGAAAUACUUAGUGUGAAUUGCAGAAUCCUAUGAAUCAUCGAUUCUUUGAAUGCAAGUUGUGCCUGAGGCCUCAACCAAGGGCGCAUUUGCUUAGGCGUCG